rnacentral:rRNA from 1 species
GGGGAAUAUUGGACAAUGGGCGAAAGCCUGAUCCAGCAAUGCCGCGUGAGUGAAGAAGGUCUUCGGAUUGUAAAGCUCUUUCGACGGGGACGAUGAUGACGGUACCCGUAGAAGAAGCCCCGGCUAACUUCGUGCCAGCAGCCGCGGUAAUACGAAGGGGGCUAGCGUUGCUCGGAAUGACUGGGCGUAAAGGGCGCGUAGGCGGUUUGGACCGUCAGAUGUGAAAUUCCCGGGCUCAACCUGGGGGCUGCAUUUGAUACGUCCAGACUAGAGUGAGGAAGAGGGUUGUGGAAUUCCCAGUGUAGAGGUGAAAUUCGUAGAUAUUGGGAAGAACACCGGUGGCGAAGGCGGCAACCUGGUCCUUGACUGACGCUGAGGCGCGAAAGCGUGGGGAGCAAAC